UUCCUCCAGGUUCUCCGGUUUUCCCCUACAGUCCAAAAACAUGUUAGGUGAAUGAGAGUUACCAAGUAGGUGGGCAUGUGUGUGUGUUUGUGUGUGUUUAUCAUAACGUGAUAAAUAUCUGUUUUUUUCCCUUAUGAGGACCAGGAAACACUGUUUUAUAAAAAUCAGUGACUGCUAUGAAAAAACUAAAAAUGCAAAAACUCUUGCAUUUUGCUUGGUUACUUGUGGUUAUGGUUAGGGCAGGGUGGGGGUUAAGGUUGUCAUAGUUAGCGUUAGCAUUUUCCUAUAGAAAUGAAUGAGCUGGCCCCAUAAGGAUAGGUAUACCAUACUGUGCGAGCGAGUAUACCUAUCCUUAUGUGUGUGUGUGUGUGUGUGUGUGUGUGUGUGUGUGUGUGUGUGUGUGCCCUGCGAUAGGUUGGCACCCUGUCCUCUGCCGUAUCUUCCGGCUCUAAAUCCCCGCGACCUUGCAUAGGAUAAGCGAGUAUGGAUGGAUGGCUUGUAUCUACCUGCGAUUUUGAAGAUGUAGUGAAAUGCUGUCUCUCUGUCAGAGACUAUCACUACACGUCUGUUAUGAACAGCACUGGCGACUCAGAGGUCCGUUUCUCGUCAUAAUUACCCUGCUUUGGUAUAAUUUUGUCUUCUUUUCUGAGGUCUCUUCUGUUUCGGUGAACAUGGUGAUGUGUGAGCUGUUGUACAGUUUGUGUCUGCAUGUGUCCUUGGUAACAGGAUGUGAGCUUGUUCAGUGCAGACACCGUACCUUCCCCAGGUGAUUCAUCAAAGCCCGCCGGCUCGUUUGGGGAAUACUAACACUCUCUAAAACAACAACACACAUUCCUUCAAUUAUUCAAACAGCAAUCUGCAUAGAAUAGCUUGGCACUGAAGAGAAACACAAAUUAUACAAGCAGCUCAGGGUCAGGAGGAAUUGGGUACAGAUCAUGGAGUUUGAUGUAGAAUAGCUGCGUGUUUCAGACUUUAGUGUAGAUGGGUGUGCGUUACAUAUUUUAGGGUAUAGGUGGGUGUACAUUACAGAUGUUUGGGUGUAGAUGGGGGUGUGUUACAUAUUUUAGGGUAUAGGUGGGUGUGCAUUACAGAUGUUUGGGUGUAGAUGGGUGUGCGUUACAUAUUUUAGGGUAUAGGUGGGUGUACAUUACAGAUGUUUGGGUGUAGAUGGGUGUGUGUUACAUAUUUUAGGGUAUAGGUGGGUGUGCAUUACAGAUGUUUGGGUGUAGAUGGGUGUGCGUUACAUAUUUUAGGGUAUAGGUGUGUGUACAUUACAGAUGUUUGGGUGUAGAUGGGUGUGUGUUACAUAUUUUAGGGUAUAGGUGGGUGUGCAUUACAGAUGUUUGGGUGUAGAUGGGUGUGCGUUACAUAUUUUAGGGUAUAGGUGGGUGUACAUUACAGAUGUUUGGGUGUAGAUGGGUGUGUGUUACAUAUUUUAGGGUAUAGGUGGGUGUACAUUACAGAUGUUUGGGUGUAGAUGGGUGUGUGUUACAUAUUUUAGGGUAUAGGUGGGUGUACAUUACAGAUGUUUGG